GUGGGCGUAAUAUAAUGGUUAAUAUACGUGCUUGCCAAGCAUGAGAUGGGGGUUCGAUUCCCCUCGCCCGCUCCA
rnacentral:tRNA from 5 species